GACGAACGCUGGCGGCGUGCUUAACACAUGCAAGUCGAACGGAAAGGCCCUGCUUUUGUGGGGUGCUCGAGUGGCGAACGGGUGAGUAACACGUGAGUAACCUGCCCUUGACUUUGGGAUAACUUCAGGAAACUGGGGCUAAUACCGGAUAGGAGCUCCUGCUGCAUGGUGGGGGUUGGAAAGUUUCGGCGGUUGGGGAUGGACUCGCGGCUUAUCAGCUUGUUGGUGGGGUAGUGGCUUACCAAGGCUUUGACGGGUAGCCGGCCUGAGAGGGUGACCGGCCACAUUGGGACUGAGAUACGGCCCAGACUCCUACGGGAGGCAGCAGUGGGGAAGAUUGCACAAUGGGCGGAAGCCUGAUGCAGCAACGCCGCGUGCGGGAUGACGGCCUUCGGGUUGUAAACCGCUUUCGCCUGUGACGAAGCGUGAGUGACGGUAAUGGGUAAAGAAGCACCGGCUAACUACGUGC
rnacentral:rRNA from 1 species